rnacentral:misc_RNA from 2 species
CGGUCGGCAGGCGAUCCGCGUCGGUCGUGCGAGGUGGUAUGGUUCCCCAGAGGCCGGUUCUUGUGCUGCCUACCCCUUCGAGGGAAGCGGGCCACUUGAUGUAAGCCUCCAUCCGGCGCCUUCCAAUGGGCGCAGGAGGACAACGGAGCACCCCCCGCGUUCCACCGAGCCUUCUCGGUCGCGUGGCCCGUGGGGACGUGCGAUGCUCUCGGACCCAGCGAACGCCGUGGGCGAGGACUCACGUCCCAGUCCCGAAAAGAAGCUCCGAUAUAACGCAUGACGGCCGCUCCCGCCCCCCUACCGCCCCGGCGGCGCGGGGGCGAGGCGCGGCGUCGCAGAGGAAUGCUACC